rnacentral:rRNA from 1 species
UACGUAGGGAGCAAGCGUUGUUCGGAUUUACUGGGUGUAAAGGGUGCGUAGGCGGCUUUGCAAGUCAGAAGUGAAAUCCAUGGGCUUAACCCAUGAACUGCUUUUGAAACUGCAGAGCUUGAGUGGAGUAGAGGUAGGCGGAAUUCCCGGUGUAGCGGUGAAAUGCGUAGAGAUCGGGAGGAACACCAGUGGCGAAGGCGGCCUGCUGGGCUCUAACUGACGCUGAGGCACGAAAGCGUGGGUAGCAAACAGG